UGACCGCUGGCGGCGUGCUUAACACAUGCAAGUCGACCGAAGCACCUCUCCCGAAGAUUGCCACAGCUUGCUGUAGAUUGAUUCAUUUGAGGUGACUGAGUGGCGGACGGGUGAGUAACGCGUGGGUAACCUGCCUCAUAGAGGGGGACAACAGUUGGAAACGACUGCUAAUACCGCAUAGUAAGAAGAAUUCGCAUGUUUUCUUCUUGAAAGAUUUAUCGCUAUGAGAUGGACCCGCGUCUGAUUAGCUAGUUGGUAAGGUAACGGCUUACCAAGGCGACGAUCAGUAGCCGGCUUGAGAGAGUGAACGGCCACAUUGGGACUGAGACACGGCCCAAACUCCUACGGGAGGCAGCAGUGGGGAAUAUUGCACAAUGGGGGAAACCCUGAUGCAGCGACGCCGCGUGAGUGAAGAAGUAUUUCGGUAUGUAAAGCUCUAUCAGCAGGGAAGAUAAUGACGGUACCUGACUAAGAAGCCCCGGCUAACUACGUG
rnacentral:rRNA from 1 species